rnacentral:rRNA from 1 species
CCCUACGGGGUGCCGUCGUGGCUUUGCGUGCAGGAUACCGAAGGGUUGUCGGUAAUGACGGCGUGGGCGGCCGGUAAGUUCUCAGGAGAAUCGGUGGGCACUUUUAUCAAUAAGUGCGGCAUAAAGGACAAGGUUAAGCAUCGGAAUAUCAUCAUUCCGGGCUAUGCCGCCGGCAUCAGCGGAGAGCUUGAAGAGGAGCUUGGGGGUUGGACGGUGACGGUAGGCCCACGCGAGGCAAGCCAGAUUCCCAAAUUCCUCAAAGUCUGGAAAGCCUAGCCCUGUUAUGAGAAUACUUCCCGGGAAAGGGUGAAACGGAGGGAGAAAUCAGGAUGAAGCUGAUUGGUGAGAAUCUCAAUAUUAUGAGCAAUAAAUAUGGCAAAGCGUUGAAAGAACGUGAUGCGAAGACAUUGCAGGAAUUGGCGGGGGGGC